GUYUUUUUGUUAAAAAUUUAAAGUCGGGCCUGCCCACUGAAAAUUUAAAUGGCCGUGGUAUUUUGACCGUGCUAAGGUAGCAUAAUCAUUAGUUUUUUAAUUGAAAGCUGGAAUGAAAGGUUUGAUAAAAAAGUAACUGUCUCUAUUUAAUUUUAUUAAAAAUUUAUUUUUAAGUUCAAAAGCUUAAUUUUUAUUAAAAGACGAGAAGACCCUAUAGAGUUUAAUAAUUUAAUAUAACUUGUAUUUUAGAAUUAAUUUAUUUAUUUUUUAGAAUUAUUUAAUUGGGGUGAUUGAAAAAUUUAAUUAACUUUUUUUAUAUUUUACCAUUAAUUUAUGAUAAUUUGAUCCAAUUUUUUUGAUUAUAAGAUAAAAUUACCUUAGGGAUAACAGCGUAAUUUUUUUAGAAAGUUCAAAUUAAAAGAAAAGAUUGCGACCUCGAUGUUGGAUUAAAAUUAAAUUUUGGUGUAGAAGCUAAAAAUUUUAAGUCUGUUCGACUUU
rnacentral:rRNA from 1 species